AUUGAACGCUGGCGGCAGGCCUAACACAUGCAAGUCGAACGAGUGGCGGACGGGAGAGUAAUGUCUGGGAAACUGCCUGAUGGAGGGGGCUAACUACUGGAAACGGUAGCUCAUACCGCAUACCAUCGGAUGUGCCCAGAUGGGAUUAGCUAGUAGGAGGGGUAAAGGCUCACCUAGUCGACGAUCCCUAGCUGGUCUGAGAGGAAGACCAUCCACACGGGAAAUGAGACACGUUCCAGAUUCCUACGUGAGGCAGCAGUGGGGAAUAUUGGACAAUGGGCGAAAGCCUGAUGCAGCCAUGCCGCGUGUAUGAAGAAGGCAUUCGGGUUGUAAAGUACUUUCAGCGGGGAGGCGUUACCCGCAGAAGAAGCACCGGCUAACUCCGUGCCAGCAGCCGCGGUAAUUC
rnacentral:rRNA from 1 species